GUAGAAGUCUGGAUGGAGAUCGCUUAUCGAAGAAGCUCGACUGAAGUCCGCCUGUAAUAAAAGUUCGGAAGGAAUUCGUUUAUAGUAAAAGCUCGGAUGGAAUUCGCUUACAAUAGAGGUCCGCUUGCAGUAGAAAUUUGGAGUGGAUUGCUUGUGGUAGAAGUUUGGAAUAGACUGCUUGCAGUAGAAGUUCGACUGGAGAUCGGUUGCCAUGGAAGCCUGGAUGGAGAUCGCUUAUUGUAGAAGCUCAGCCGAAGAUCAGUUGUCGUGGAAG
rnacentral:lncRNA from 1 species